rnacentral:pre_miRNA from 1 species
GGACUAUUCAUAAGAGGCUGAUGACUAAAACUUAUCCCUCAUAAUCCCACCAAUUUCAAGGGGAUUAAGGGGAUAAAUUUUAGUCAUCAACCUCUUAUAGAUAGUCCC